rnacentral:rRNA from 1 species
AUUGAACGCUGGCGGCAUGCUUUACACAUGCAAGUCGAACGGUAACAGGUUAAGCUGACGAGUGGCGAACGGGUGAGUAAUGCAUCGGAACGUGCCCGGUCGUGGGGGAUAACGCAGCGAAAGCUGCGCUAAUACCGCAUACGAUCUGAGGAUGAAAGCGGGGGACCGUAAGGCCUCGCGCGAUCGGAGCGGCCGAUGUCAGAUUAGGUAGUUGGUGGGGUAAAGGCUCACCAAGCCGACGAUCUGUAGCUGGUCUGAGAGGACGACCAGCCACACUGGGACUGAGACACGGCCCAGACUCCUACGGGAGGCAGCAGUGGGGAAUUUUGGACAAUGGGCGCAAGCCUGAUCCAGCAAUGCCGCGUGCAGGAAGAAGGCCUUCGGUUGUAAAGGCUCUUUCGGCCGGGAAGGAAAUACGCAUGGGUUAAUA